AUGAAGAACGCAGCGAAAUGCGAUAAGUAAUGUGAAUUGCAGAAUUCAGUGAAUCAUCGAAUCUUUGAACGCACCUUGCGCUCCUUGGUAUUCCGAGGAGCAUGCCUGUUU
rnacentral:rRNA from 1 species